rnacentral:miRNA from 1 species
AAAAGCUGGGUUGAGAGGGUAA